rnacentral:rRNA from 1 species
GACCUCGGAUCAGGCGUGAAUA